CCUACGGGUGGCAGCAGUGGGGAAUAUUGCGCAAUGGGCGAAAGCCUGACGCAGCGACGCCGCGUGAGGGAUGAAGGUCUUCGGAUCGUAAACCUCUGUCAGCAGGGAAGAACGGUCACUGUGCUAAUCCGCAGUGAAUUGACUGUACCUGCAAAGGACACACCGGCUAACUCCGUGCCAGCAGCCGCGGUAAUACGGAGGGUGCGAGCGUUAAUCGGAAUUACUGGGCGUAAAGCUCUCGUAGGCGGUAUGUCAAGUCAAGGGUGAAAUCCCCGCGCUCAACGUGGGAACUGCCUUUGAAACUGGCAAACUUGAGUGUGUUAGAGGAUAGUGGAAUUCCAGGUGUAGGAGUGAAAUCCGUAGAUAUCUGGAGGAACAUCAGUGGCGAAGGCGACUAUCUGGCACAUAACUGACGCUGGGGAGCGAAAGCGUGGGUAGCAAACAGGAUUAGAUACCCGAGUAGUC
rnacentral:rRNA from 1 species